UUCGAUGCAACGCGAAGAACCUACCUGGUCUUGACAUCCCGAGGACCCUUAGGAAACUAGGGGGUGGCUUCCAUCUGGAAGAAUCUGGAGACAGGUGCUGCAUGGCUGUCGUCAGCUCGUGUCGUGAGAUGUUGGGUUAAGUCCCGCAACGAGCGCAACCCUUGCCUUUAGUCGCCAGCAGUUCGGCUGGGCACUCUAAAGGGACUGCCGGUGUUAAACCGGAGGAAGGUGGGGAUGACGUCAAGUCCUCAUGGCCUUUAUGACCAGGGCUACACACGUACUACAAUGGCCGAUACAAAGGGCAGCGACACUGCGAGGUGAAGCCAAUCCCGUAAAAUCGGUCUCAGUCCGGAUUGGAGUCUGCAACUCGACUCCAUGAAGUUGGAAUCGCUAGUAAUCGUGGAUCAGCAUGCCACGGUGAAUACGUUCCCGGGCCUU
rnacentral:rRNA from 1 species